UACGUAGGGUGCAAGCGUUGUCCGGAAUUACUGGGCGUAAAGGGCUCGUAGGCGGCCAACUAAGUCAGACGUGAAAUCCCUCGGCUUAACCGGGGAACUGCAUCUGAUACUGGAUGGCUUGAGAUUGGGAGAGGGAUGCGGAAUUCCAGGUGUAGCGGUGAAAUGCGUAGAUAUCUGGAGGAACACCGGUGGCGAAGGCGGCGACCUGGGUAGAUACUGACGCUGAGGCGCGAAAGCGUGGGGAGCAAACAGG
rnacentral:rRNA from 1 species